UGGAUACCUAUGCAGGCAGACCUAUAGGACAACUGCUGGAAAAUUAAAGGGAUAUUUUUAUCCUAAGUUUACAAGUGGAUCCCUUCUGUUGGACUUCACUGAUACUUUGAAAAACUGAGGAAAUGCCAACCCAAUGAGCCAAGAAAUAUGAAUGAAAUAUAUAUCUACAUACUGGAGAAGAAUAUAAUUCAUUAGGUGGCCUAUAAUAAGGAAUCCCAAUAAACGCUAUCAUAUUCUGGGAAUAAUUUUCUUCAAGUUUUUUCAACUUGGUAAUAAAUAUUUUUC